rnacentral:lncRNA from 1 species
GUUGUCCUGCGAUCCGAUGCCGCCUGACCAGGUGUUGCUUGACAAAGAGGUGGUGAGCAGUGCCAAAACCCCGCCUGAAACCCGCUUGGCAUGGGUGCCGCAGGUCCAGUAUUUCCCCAGCACGUACCAGGCGGUUAAGGAUCACUGACGCAUAGCAUUUCGCAAGUGCUCCUCCAACUGCAAUGCCCCGAUAAUUUCC